GUGAGGAAAAGAUGUUGGGAAAAAAAAAACUGGGGGUAGAUGGAGGGGGAAAAACAGGGUGGUGAACAGGAGGGACGGAAGGUUUCACAGAAAGACGGUAGUGAAAAAGUUUUUGGGUAGAUGGAAGGGGGUAAGAGAGGGUCGUGAGUGGGGAACGGGGAUGAGCAGGAAGGAGAGAAGGUUUGCAAAAAUACGGUGGGGAGAGAAGAAAGGGAAAGAAGACUGUAGGUAAAAAGAUUUUGAGUAGAUGGAGGGGGGAAAAGGGUGACAAGUGGAAGGAGAAAAGAGGGUGCAGAGAGGGAGGGGGAAGAGAGAGUGGCAAGCAGGAGGGAGAGAAGGUUUUGUGAAAAGACAGUGAGGAGAGAAGCUUUUAGGUAGAUGGAGAGGGAAAAGAGGGUGGCCAGUGGGAGAAGGAUAAAGAGGGUGGCGAGGAGGAAAGUGAAAAGGUUUUGCGAAAAGACGAUAGGCAGAAAAGAAAGUGUAGAAAGAAAAGACAGUGGGUAAAAAGUGUUUGGGUAGAUGGAGGGGGAGAAGAGGGUGGCAAGUGGGAGGAGAAUAGAAAGUGUGGCCAGAGGGAGUGGGGAAAGAGGACUGGGAAAAAGGCGAUGGGGAAAAUAGUUCGGGGUAGAUGGAAGGCAAAAAGAGGGUGGCAAGCAGGACAGAGGAAAGAAGAGGGUGAGCGGGAAGCGGGGAAGGCUUUGUGAGAAGGUGGCAGGGAAAAAUUGGGGAGGUAGAUGGGUUAAAAGAGCGUGGUGAGCAGGAGGAGAGAAGAGGCUUUGCAAAAAGACGGCGGGAAAAUGUUUUUGGUAGAUGGAGAAGGGAAAGGGUGGCAAGGAGGAUGGGAGAAAAAGAUGAUAGGGAAACAGUUUUUGGGUAGAUGGAAGGGGAAAGAGAGGGUGGCGAGCAGCAGGAGUGGGGAGAAGGCUUUGGGAAAAGAUGAGGGAAAUGUUUUUGGGAGUUGAAGGAGCAAAAGAGGAUGAUGAGAGCAGGAGGUGGAAAAAAGGCUGGCCAGGGAGAGGGAGAAAAGACGUUGGGGAAAAGUUUUGGGGUAGAUGGGUGGGGAAAAUGGAAGUGAGCGGUAAAGUAUAGAAGGCUUUGCAAAAAGACAGUGGGGAAAAAAUGGUGGGGAAAAAGUUUUGGGGUAGAUGGAGGAAGAAAAAGGGUGGUGAGAGAGGGAGCCAAAGACGGUCAGGAAAAAAAUUCCUCCUGUUACUGAUUUUUUAAUACUCUUCCACUCUGCUCAGAAAAAAUAAUUGAUAUGAUUUCAGGGUUUUUUUUGUUUUGGUUUGGUUUGGUUUGGUUUGGUUUUUUGAGACGGAGUCCUGCUCUGUUGCCCAGGCUGGAGUGCAGUGGUGUGAUCUUGGCAAACUGCCACCUCCACCUCCCCGGUUCAAGCCAUUCUUUUGACUCAGCCUCCUGAGUAGCUGGGAUUACAGGCAUGCACCACGACGCCCAGCUAAUUUUGCAUUUUUAGUUCUAAAUGGGGUUUCUCCAUGUUGGUCAGGCUGGUCCCGACCUCUGUUGAUUGGCCCACCUCUGCCUUCCAAAGUGCUGGGAUUACAGGUUUGAGCCACCGCACCUGGCAAGGAUGUUGAAUUUUAUUGAAUAUUUUUUUCUGCAUCUAUUGAGAUAAUCAUAUGAUUUUUGUUUUAAAUUCUGUUUAUAUGGUAAAUCACAUUUAUUGAUUUGCAUAUGUUAAAUAGUCCUUGCAUCCCAGGAAUAAAACCCAUGUAAUCAUGAUGAAUUACAUCUUUGAUAUGCUGAUGGAUUUGGUUUGCUAGCAUUUUGUUGAGGAUAUUUGCAUCUAUGUUCAUCAGAUAUUGGCCUGUAGUUUGUUGUUGUUGUUUCCUUGCUAGAUUUUAGUGUCAGGAUGAUACUGGUUUUGUAGAAUGAGUUAGAGAGGAAUUCCUUCUCCUCAAUGUUUUAGAAUGGUUGCAGUAAGAUUGAUACCAUCUAUUUUUUUGUAUGCUUGGUAAAAUUCAGCUGUGAAUUCAUCUAGUCCUGGGCUUCUCCUGCCUGAUAAAUAUUUUUAUUACAAAUUCAAUUUCAUAAUUAACUACUGGUUUAUUCAGAUUUUUUUUAAAUUUAUAGAGAAAAAAUAUUUAUUUGGUUUAUAGUUGUGCAGGCAGUAGAAGCAUGGGACCAGCACCUGCUCAGGUUUGGGUGAGACCUCAGAAAGCAUCCAAUCACAGAGGAAGGCAAAGUGAGGGCCAGUGUAUCACGUGUCAAGAGAGAAAUGAAUAGCAAGAAGGGGAACACGGCAGGCUGUUUUAAACAACCAGCUCUCAUGUGACACAACAGAGCAAGGACUUGCUCAUCACCAAGGGGAUGGAGCUAAGCAAAUUAUGAAGAGUCCACCCCCAUGAUUCAACACCUUCCACUAGGCCCACCACCAACGUUUAAGAUCACAUUCAACAAGAGAUUUGGAGGGUAAACACAUCCAAACAAUGUCAUUUCACACCUAUGCCCACCAAAUCUCAUGUCCUUCUCAUAUUGCACAAUACAAUUAUCAUCUCUCAGUAGUCCCCAAAAAUCUCAAGCUGUUUCAGCAUCAACUCAAAAGUCCGAAAUCUCAUCUGAACUUCAAGGUAAUUUGGCCCUUUGUUUGAGCCCAUCAUCUGGGAGGUGAGUAACGCCUCUGCCCGGCCACCUUGUCUGGGAAGUGGGGAGCCCCUCUGCCCAGCCACCCCAUCUGGGAGGUGAGGAGUGCCUCUGCCUGGCCACCCAAUGUCUGGGAGGUGAGGAGUGCCUCUUCCCGGCUGCCCCAUCUGGGAGGUGAGGAGCGCCUCUGCCCGGCCACCCCCUCUGGGAAGUGAGGAGCGCCUCUGCCCGGCAGCCCUGUCUGGGAAGUGAGGAGCGCCACUGCCUGGCUGCCCCGUCUGGGUUGUGAGGAGCACCUCUGCCUGACCGCCACCCCAUCUGGGAAGUGGGGAGCGCCUUUGCCCAGCUGCCCCGUCUGGGAAGUGAGGAGCACCUUUCUCCUGCUGCCCAUCAUCUGGGAGGUGAGGAGCGCCUCUGCAUGGAUGACACACCAUCUGGGAAGUGAGGAGCGCCUCUGCCCAGCCGCCCCAUCUGGGAAGUGAGGAGUGCUUCUGCCUGGCCGCCCAUUGUCUGGGAGGUGAGGAGCGCCUCUGCCCGGCCACCCUGUCUGGGUUGUGAGGAGCGCCUCUGCCCAGCUCCCACCCUGUCUGGGAAGUGGGGAGCGCCUCUUCCCGGUCGCCCCAUCUGGGAGGUGAGGAGUGCCUCCCUCCAGCUGCCCAUCAUCUGGUAGGUGAGGAGUGCCUCUGAAUGGACGACACACAAUCUGGGAACUGAGGAGCGCCUCUGCCUGGCCGCGCCAUCUGGGAAGUGAAGAGCGCCUCUGCCCGGCCGCCCCAUCUGGGAAGUGAGGAGCGCCUCUGCCUGGCUGCCCAUCAUCUGGGAGGUGAGGAGCACCUCUCCCCAGCCACCCAUUGUCUGGGAGGUGAGGAGUUCCUCUGGCUGGCCGCCCGGUCUGGCAGUUGAGCGCCUCUGCCCGGCCACCCCCUCUGGGAAGUGAAGAGCGCCUCUGCCCAGCCUCCCCAUCUGGGAGGUGAGGAGCGCCUCUGCCCGGCUGCCCCAUCUGGGAGGUGAGGAGCGCCUCUGCCUGACCUCCACCCCAUCUGGGAAUGGGGAGUGGCAUUUCUCGGCCGCCCCAUCUGGGAAGUGAGGAGCACCUUUCUCUGGCUGCCAAUCAUCUGGGAGGUGAGAAGCGCCUCUUCACGGAUGACACACCAUCUGGGAAGUGAGGAGCGCCUCUGCCUGGCUGCCCCAUCUGGGAAGUGAGGAGCACCUCUUCCUGGUCUCCCCGUCUGGGAGGUGAGGAGCGCCGCUGCCCGGCCACCCCAUCUAGGAGGUGAGGAGCGCCUCUGCCCAGCCACCCCAUGUGGGAGGCGAGGAGCGCCUCUGCCUGGCCGCCCAGUCUGGGAGGUGAGGAGCGCCUUUGCCCAGCUGCCCAUCAUCUGGGAGGUGAGGAGCGCCUCUGCCAGCCCGCCCCAUCUGGGAGGUGAGGAGCGCCUCUUCCUGGUCUCCCCGUCUGGGAGGUGAGGAGCGCCUCUGCCCGGCCACCCCAUCUAGGAGGUGAGGAGCGCCUCUGCCCGGCCACCCCAUGUGGGAGGCGAGGAGCACCUCUGCCUGGCCGCCCAGUCUGGGAGGUGAGGAGCGCCUUUGCCCAGCUGCCCAUCAUCUGGGAGGUGAGGAGUUCCUCUGCCAGGCCGCCUCAUCUGGGAGGUGAGGAGCGCCUCUGCCCAGCCGCCCCGUCUGGGAAGUGGGGAGCACCUCUGCCUGGCCGUGAUGUCUGGGAGGUGAGGAGUGCCUCUGCCUGGCCACCCCGUCUGGGAAAUGAGGAGCACCUCUGCCUGGCUGCCCAUUGUCUGGGAGGUGAGGAGCCCCUCUGCCUGGCUGCCCCCCCUGGGAGGUGAGGAGUGCCUCUUCCCAGCCGCCCCAUCUGGGAAAUGAGGAGCACCUCUUGCCUGGUUGCCCCAUCUGGGAAGUGAGGAGCGCCUCUGCCCAGCCGCCCCAUCUGGGAAGUAAGGAGCACCUCUGCCUGGCCGUUGUGCAAUCUUCCAAGUGUGAAGUGACAGCCUUUCUGCAGGUGUACCCAACAGCUUCGAAGAGACAGCCACCAUCGGGAACGGACCAUGAUGAUGAUGGCAGUUUUGUCAAAAAGAAAAGAGGGAAAUGUGGGGAAAAGGAAGAGAGAUCAGAUUGUUACUGUGUCUGUGUAGAAAGAAGUAGACAUAGGAGACUCCAUUUUCUUCUGUACUAAGAGAAAUUCUUCUGCCUUGGGAUGCUGUUAAUCUAUAACCUUACCCCCAACCCCGUGCUCUCUGAAACAUGUGCUGUGUCAACUCAGGGUUAAAUGGAUUAAGGGCGGUGCAAGAUGGGCUUUGUUAAACAGAUGCUUGAAGGCAGCAUGCUCAUUAAGAGUCAUCACCACUCCCUAAUCUCAAGUACCCAGGGACACAAACACUAUGGAAGGCUGCAGGGACCUCUGCCUAGGAAAACCAGAGACCUUUGUUCACGUGUUUAUCUGCUGACCUUCUCUCCACUAUUAUCCUAUGACCCUGCCACAUCCCCCUCUCCAAGAAACACCCAAGAAUGAUCAAUAAAUAAUAAUAAAAAAAGCAUAGUGCAUCACCCCAAGGGUAGAGCGUGUGUGUGUGUGUGUGUGUGUGUGUGUGUGUGUGUGUGUGUGUGUGUUCGUGGAUAGUUUCUCCUAGCUAACCAUAAGACAGGAACUUGGAGUCUUGGGACAGGAAGAGAGAAAAGAGGGGAGAAAGUAUCCUGAACCAAGUAUAGAGUUGUCAAUCUCUUAACUAGAAGGUUCAAUAGUUGGGAUUUAUUUCCACAAAACAAGGAAAUUUGUGUUUUUAUAAUUAUAAAAAAGUGUUCCUGUCUGUCUAGGCUUGUACCUAAAUGGGAGACUAUAAACUCUAUUGUCCAGUAUUUUACUGAAAACUAUGUAUGACACUCUGCAGUCCAUUGUGACAUUCCUACAGCCAAGAAAAAUAACUGAAAACACUGAACGUGUCAGGGAUUCAUGAUAAGGAUUCAUUUCUGGAGCAAAGACUGGUCUUGUGAAGAAAGGACCUGUCCCCUUCUCAUGCAUGGGAUUCUACCCCCAUCCCACACACCAGAAGCACUGCCAGGACAUCUCUGCACUAUGCUGUGAGGUGGGUGGUUUAGGGUACCAUUGUUAUAUGACUUUUAUCAUUUUAGUUCUGUACAUCCUAUCUUGGGAAGUAAAUUUUUGGUUAUUUCUUUUCAUUUUACCUUUUCUUCUUGUUUAACUUUAAAAUGGAAAAAGAAGCAAAUGUUCACAAUAAACUUUACUGUUUAAUCUGAAAAAAAAAAGAAAAACAUUGCAGAAUGAUAGCCACAGUUUUAAAAAUAAGCACAUUAUAAAGAUAAUAAAAUUGUAAUAAAACUAAUUAUAAUGAACAUAUAAAAGAAGUCUUCCUGUGGAUAUUAGUAUCAUAAAACAAUUUAUAUUAUUUAACCAGUUAUAGACUCACUGUUGGCAUGUUACAUUUAACACACACUUGACUUUUGAUUUGAAAUCAUUUCCUCAUUAAAUCCUGUAUCUCACCUUUGAGAUUAAUGUGAUAAUGUGAUGUAGCCUCUAUUGAUGCCUCAGAGAGUGAGAAUGUGAUGUAACCUUUAGUGAAGCCUCACACUGUUUAUUAAGAUCCGCCAAUUUUUUUUGAAGUUGUCUCACAAUGACCUGAAAAGACAUGUUUUUGAUUUUGUGAAUCAUCUUAUCAAAUUAACAAUAUUUACUUUCAAAAAGAUCCCCAAAUAUAUUGAUUCAGUUUAUUUUCUUCAUUUGUGCACACUGCUGCUUGUUAGUGAAUUUACUUAAGGACACAAGAAGGUGUAAUCUUUCUGCCAAAUUGGUACUGUCUUACUAGACACAAGAUUCAUCUCACUGGUAAUUUCUUCCCUUAAUGAAUCUGUAAUUCUUCACAACUUACUGAAGUCUCAAAAAAAAAAAAAAGGCAGGACUAGUGGUGGUAAAUUCUAAACAGUGGAAUUCUUUCCUUCUUCUGUAUUAGAAGCACAAAUCAACAUCAAAGUUCCUCACAUAUUCAAUCACCUGCUGAAAUUUUUCCAAUAGAUUUUUAUCUCAGAAUAAAAGUAAUUUUAUUUCAAACUUUACAGGCCCUUGGUAACCUGGUCUCCACAUCCCUCCUGACCUCAGCUCCUAUGUUUCUCUCCUCUACUCACUUCUUUUGUACUAUACAUGAACCUUGCCACCCCUUAUGAAUUGAAAAAUGGGGAUCCAAUGCAAAGCUAAUAAAUCACAGAUAGCUACAAUCAUCUUUCUGUGGGACAAAGUUCUAUCCACAUGAUAGUUUUUGAGCCUUGAAAUAGAAAUUAUGAGCAAAUGAUUUGUAACAAUAUUCAAAAUAAAUUAUGAAUACCAGUGGGGUGAUUAAAUCAAAUUUGAUAUUGCUAAAAUCCACUACAUUUGUCCUAAGGUAUUAUUUAACAAAACACAGAUGCCUUUAAAAAAUUGAGAGGUUUUAACAAUACAUAAUUUCAGAUUCAAAUAUGUUCAGAUUAAGUCAAAUUGACAUAAAUGAAAAUAAAAUUCUACCAAAUAAAAUAUAUAAAAAGCUACUUAAAAAGUGUUAUUACAAGAUGCAGAAAUGUACACUUCAAAAUAUACUUCAAAUACACUUCUGUUCCUCUGGAAAAUUUAGAAUUAACUGUCAAUGUAAAUUGCUGAACUGAAUCUUAAUUUCAAAAUACUAAUUGCUGAUAUGGGCAUUCCCAUUUUUCUGCUUCAUUGUAGUCAAAAAAUGUGGCCACAAAGAGACAUUAAAACCUUUAUUUCAG
rnacentral:lncRNA from 1 species